UACGAAGGGGCUAGCGUUGCUCGGAAUCACUGGGCGUAAAGCGCGCGCAGGCGGCUCUUCAAGUCAGGGGUGAAAGCCCAGAGCUCAACUCUGGAACUGCCUUUGAGACUGAAGAGCUUGAGUACGGGAGAGGUGAGUGGAAUUCCCAGUGUAGAGGUGAAAUUCGUAGAUAUUGGGAAGAACACCGGUGGCGAAGGCGGCUCACUGGCCCGUUACUGACGCUCAGGAGCGAAAGCGUGGGGAGCGAACAGG
rnacentral:rRNA from 1 species